rnacentral:lncRNA from 1 species
UCGGAGGUGAGUUUCUCAUGUAGAGAUCUGAGAUCGAAUUCAACCUUCGUCUGCUGCUCGGUCAUGAGCUCAUCGCAUAUGGCUUGCCUAGUGUAGUUUACAUCUAUAUAUUUGUGAGAUAUUGUAAAGUGAAAAAGUUAAAUAAAGUGCUGGAGGUUGUGACAAAAGUUAUGAAUUUCUUAGAAAUUCCCAUAAACAAAAAAAAAAAAUCCAACAGAGGAAGUAAUACUUUUGUUAGUAGUUUCAAAUAACGAGAAUUUUAUAUUCAACAACCAAAAGGUUUUUAUAUUCGAAUUCCAAGCACAAUUUCCACGUUUUAACACCAAAACAAUAUUUAAUA